CUAAGAUUGAAAAUAACAAGCUUGUAUCAUGAUAACCUCAUUUCUGACUGCAUGUUUGUCAUCAUUUUCAUUUCUAGCCAUGGGCAAAUCGGACUGCACAGGAUGAUUUCUGCACAGGAACUAGUGAACUCCACAGGCCCAGAACACACCAGCCUCACAACUCCUCACAACUCCCCAGCCUUAAUGUGUGUAGGCAGGACAAGGAGAACACCGAUUCAAUCCAGAAGAAGAGGAAAAAGAAGAGGCUAAAUGAGAAGGGAACCCAGGUUGAACUAGGCAUGCGGGAGGAUAUCCAUGACCUUGACCUCGCCCAUUGGAGAUUGGCUAGAGAGACAUGGAGAACUGAGCGAGGAAACAUGAGGGAGAUUAAGGCGCUGUAUGGAGAAAUAUUUAGGCUGCACCAACUCUUGGAGGAGAUUGGGGUGGAUAAAGGGGUGAUCAAGCAGCGCUCCACCUCCUCCAUUAUUUGUCCCGUCUCCCCGACACUGCCAGCUUUCCCCUGGUACAACCACCA